rnacentral:rRNA from 1 species
CCCACAGGCCGUAAACCCAAGGUUUCCAGGGGAAGGUUCGUCCGCCCUGGGUUAGUCGGGACCUAAGCUGAGGCCGAAAGGCGUAGGUGAUGGACAACAGGUUGAUAUUCCUGUACUACCGAUAACCGUUUGAGAGAAGGGAUGACACAGUAGGAUAAGCUAAGCACACUGUUGGUUAUGGGUGCCCAAGCAUUGAGGCAGUCAAAGCAGGCAAAUCCGCUUUGAUAAUGCUGGGAUGUGAUGGGGAGCGAAAUUUAGUAGCGAAGUAGCUGAUUUCACACUGUCAAGAAAAGUCUCUAUCGAGGUUAAAGGUACCCGUACCGCAAACCGACACAGGUGGGUGAGGAGAGUAUCCUAAGGCCAGCGAGAGAACUGUUGUUAAGGAACUCGGCAAAAUGACCCCGUAACUUAGGGAUAAGGGGUGCCACCAUCCGGUGGCCGCAGAGAAUAGGCUCAAGCGACUGUUUACCAAAAACAUAGGUUUCUGCUAAGUCGCAAGACGAUGUAUAGGAGCUGACGCCUGCCCGGUGCUGGAAGGUUAAGGGGAUCUGUUAGAGCAAUCGAAGCAGUGAACUUAAGCC